UAAUCGUCCCGUACCUAUUAU
ensembl:piRNA 21ur-15437 ncRNA